CCUACGGGUGGCAGCAGUGAGGAAUAUUGGUCAAUGGACGAGAGUCUGAACCAGCCAAGUAGCGUGAAGGAUGACUGCCCUAUGGGUUGUAAACUUCUUUUAUAUGGGAAUAAAAUGUUCCACGUGUGGGAUUUUGUAUGUACCAUAUGAAUAAGGAUCGGCUAACUCCGUGCCAGCAGCCGCAGUAAUACGGAGGAUCCGAGCGUUAUCCGGAUUUAUUGGGUUUAAAGGGAGCGUAGGUGGAUUGUUAAGUCAGUUGUGAAAGUUUGCGGCUCAACCGUAAAAUUGCAGUUGAAACUGGCAGUCUUGAGUACAGUAGAGGUGGGCGGAAGUCGUGGUGUAGCGGUGAAAUGCUUAGAUAUCACGAAGAACUCCGAUUGCGAAGGCAGUUCACUGGACUGCAACUGACACUGAGGCUCGAAAGUGUGGGUAUCAAACAGGAUUAGAUACCCUGGUAGUC
rnacentral:rRNA from 1 species